AUGAACGCUGGCGGCGUGCCUAAUACAUGCAAGUCGAGCGAACUUUUGGGAGCUUGCUCCCAAAAGUUAGCGGCGGACGGGUGAGUAACACGUGGGUAACCUGCCUGUAAGACUGGGAUAACUUCGGGAAACCGGAGCUAAUCCGGAUAACAAUGAAAACCACAAUGCCUUCCAAUAAAAAGGUGGCUUUAGCCACCACUUACAGAGGGACCCGCGGCGCAUUAGCUUGUUGGUGAGGAUACGGCCCACCAAGGCGACGAUGCGUAGCCGACCUGAGAGGGUGAUCGGCCACACUGGGACUGAGACACGGCCCAGACUCCUACGGGAGGCAGCAGUAGGGAAUCUUCCGCAAUGGACGAAAGUCUGACGGAGCAACGCCGCGUGAGCGAAGAAGGCCUUCGGGUCGUAAAGCUCUGUUGUUAGGGAAGAACAAGUAUCGUUCGAAUAGGGCGGUACCUUGACGGUACCUAACCAGAAAGCCACGGCUAACUACGUG
rnacentral:rRNA from 1 species